rnacentral:rRNA from 1 species
AAAUACUCCUGACUGACCGAUAGUGAACCAGUACCGUGAGGGAAAGGCGAAAAGAACCCCGGCGAGGGGAGUGAAAAAGAACCUGAAACCGUGUACGUACAAGCAGUGGGAGCACGCUUAGGCGUGUGACUGCGUACCUUUUGUAUAAUGGGUCAGCGACUUAUAUUCUGUAGCAAGGUUAACCGAAUAGGGGAGCCGAAGGGAAACCGAGUCUUAACUGGGCGUUAAGUUGCAGGGUAUAGACCCGAAACCCGGUGAUCUAGCCAUGGGCAGGUUGAAGGUUGGGUAACACUAACUGGAGGACCGAACCGACUAAUGUUGAAAAAUUAGCGGAUGACUUGUGGCUGGGGGUGAAAGGCCAAUCAAACCGGGAGAUAGCUGGUUCUCCCCGAAAGCUAUUUAGGUAGCGCCUCGUGAAUUCAUCUCCGGGGGUAGAGCACUGUUUCGGCAAGGGGGUCAUCCCGACUUACCAACCCGAUGCAAACUGCGAAUACCGGAGAAUGUUAUCACGGGAGACACACGGCGGGUGCUAACGUCCGUCGUGAAGAGGGAAACAACCCAGACCGCCAGCUAAGGUCCCAAAGUCAUGGUUAAGUGGGAAACGAUGUGGGAAGGCCCAGACAGCCAGGAUGUUGGCUUAGAAGCAGCCAUCAUUUAAAGAAAGCGUAAUAGCUCACUGGUCGAGUCGGCCUGCGCGGAAGAUGUAACGGGGCUAAACCAUGCACCGAAGCUGCGGCAGCGACGCUUAUGCGUUGUUGGGUAGGGGAGCGUUCUGUAAGCCUGUGAAGGUGUGCUGUGAGGCAUGCUGGAGGUAUCAGAAGUGCGAAUGCUGACAUAAGUAACGAUAAAGCGGGUGAAAAGCCCGCUCGCCGGAAGACCAAGGGUUCCUGUCCAACGUUAAUCGGGGCAGGGUGAGUCGACCCCUAAGGCGAGGCCGAAAGGCGUAGUCGAUGGGAAACAGGUUAAUAUUCCUGUACUUGGUGUUACUGCGAAGGGGGGACGGAGAAGGCUAUGUUGGCCGGGCGACGGUUGUCCCGGUUUAAGCGUGUAGGCUGGUUUUCCAGGCAAAUCCGGAAAAUCAAGGCUGAGGCGUGAUGACGAGGCACUACGGUGCUGAAGCAACAAAUGCCCUGCUUCCAGGAAAAGCCUCUAAGCAUCAGGUAACAUCAAAUCGUACCCCAAAC